rnacentral:rRNA from 1 species
UUCGUAGGCGGUGCGGCAAGUCGGGAGUGAAAUCUCUGGGCUUAACUCAGAGGCUGCUCUCGAAACUGCCGUGCUCGAGUGCGGGAGAGGCGAGUGGAAUUGCAGGUGUAGCGGUGAAAUGCGUAGAUAUCUGCAGGAACACCCGUGGCGAAGGCGGCUCGCUGGACCGCAACUGACGCUGAGGAACGAAAGCUAGGGGAGCAAACAGGAUUAGAUACCCUGGUAGUCCUAGCCCUAAACCAUCAGGACUUGGGGUGGCCCGCGUAGGCGGGUCGUCCCGCAGCUAACGCGUUAAGUCCUGCGCCUGGGGAGUACGGUCGCAAGACUGAA